CACUCCUACGGGAGGCAGCAGUGGGGAAUAUUGGACAAUGGGCGCAAGCCUGAUCCAGCCAUGCCGCGUGAGUGAUGAAGGCCCUAGGGUUGUAAAGCUCUUUCACCGGUGAAGAUAAUGACGGUAACCGGAGAAGAAGCCCCGGCUAACUUCGUGCCAGCAGCCGCGGUAAUACGAAGGGGGCUAGCGUUGUUCGGAUUUACUGGGCGUAAAGCGCACGUAGGCGGACUAUUAAGUCAGGGGUGAAAUCCCGGGGCUCAACCCCGGAACUGCCUUGGAUACUGGUAGUCUUGAGUUCGAGAGAGGUGAGUGGAAUUCCGAGUGUAGAGGUGAAAUUCGUAGAUAUUCGGAGGAACACCAGUGGCGAAGGCGGCUCACUGGCUCGAUACUGACGCUGAGGUGCGAAAGCGUGGGGAGCAAACAGGAUUAGAAACCCGGGUAGUCCCAUGAU
rnacentral:rRNA from 1 species